rnacentral:lncRNA from 1 species
UUUCGUAGCCAAUCAUGAUCAUGACCGGAAGUGGACUGGUUAAAGCGAUAAAAUUUCAGAACAUUGGGGGCAUUUUGAAUAUCGAUUUCUUCCUCGUUUUCAAUCACACACCUUCCUCAUUCUCGAUCUCCAUCUCCUAUCGUCGAGAAGCAAUGAAGAAAAGGCACUAGAUCAUGGCAAGCGGACAUUAGUGCUCGUCGGUGGUCAUAGAGGAUGUGUCAUCUUUUCGUUGGUGUUCAUCGACGGUGUGCGAUGACAGCUACUAUGUUGAGGAUUCACAAGAUUAUUCCCGGUCAUGUCUGCCAGAGCAUGUCUUCUUCCUCUACCCCCCCCCCAACAUUUGACCACUGUUCCAGUCUGAUGGGCCUAUGGCUAGAGCACAGCUUUCAUUUGUCUGGAUAAUUUUUUCUGCUUGAUGUCGUGCUACUGUUUGAUGAAAUGCUUUAGAAUCUGUUAGAUGUUCAAUUCUCAUCUAAAGGUUAUUGGGGAUGGACAUCUAAAUGAAUGCCUAUAUUACAACCCUUGGUGGAGAGCAUAGGCUCAGUUUGUGUAUAUAGUUUUUCUGCUUGAUGCCAUGCUACUGUUCAACGAAAUGCCUUUCGAAAUUUGUUGGAUGAUGGUUUUAACUAUCUCUAUUUUUUUCUGAGCAAUUAUAUCUAUAUCAAUUUUGGAUGGAUAACUACACAUGGGUUGAAAUGAUUUUUGUAGGAUCUGGCUUGCUCGAGCAAAUGUUGGGUUUGAGCGUUUAGCCUUAUAAAGAUGUGAUGUAGACUUGGCAUAGUCAUUCAAUGGCUCUACCAACAAAUAUGAUGUAGAUUUGGCUAUGCUUAUCUCUUAUUUAUUCUAUAUUUUGUUUCUACUUUGAGUAGAAGAAGUGC